rnacentral:rRNA from 1 species
CUGGCUCAGGAUGAACGCUGGCGGCGUGCCUAACACAUGCAAGUCGAGCGAUUCUCUUCGGAGAAGAGCGGCGGACGGGUGAGUAACGCGUGGGUAACCUGCCCCAUACACAUGGAUAACAUACCGAAAGGUAUGCUAAUACAGGAUAAUAUAAGAGAUUCACAUGGAUUUCUUAUCAAAGCUCCGGCGGUAUGAGGUGGACCCGCGUCCGAUUAGCUAGUUGGUAAGGUAACGGCUUACCAAGGCGACGAUCAGUAGCCGACCUGAGAGGGUGAUCGGCCACAUUGGAACUGAGACACGGUCCAAACUCCUACGGGAGGCAGCAGUGGGGAAUAUUGCACAAUGGGCGAAAGCCCGAUGCCAGCAACGCCGCGUGAGUGAUGAAGGCCUUCGGGUCGUAAAACUCUGUCCUCAAGGAAGAUAAUGACGGUACUUGAGGAGGAAGCCCCGGCUAACUACGUGCCAGCAGCCGC